UACGUAGGGUGCAAGCGUUAUCCGGAAUUACUGGGCGUAAAGAGUUCGUAGGCGGAAUGGUUAGUGAUGGGUUAAAUCUUGGGGCUCAACCCCAAGUCGGCUCAUCAUACUGCCAUUCUAGAAUCAGUUUGGGGAAGUUGGAAUUCUCGGUGGAGGGGUGAAAUCCGUUGAUAUCGAGAGGAACGCCAAGGGCGAAGGCAGGCUUCUAAGACUGUAUUGACGCUGAGGGACGAAAGCUAGGGUAGCAAAC
rnacentral:rRNA from 1 species